CUCACUCACUCGCCCAGCCGCACUCACUCGCACGCUUCUCGCCGCUCGCCGGCCUUCCCCUUCUCGCCUGCCUCCCCUCUCCCCGCUGCUCGCCAGCCUCACCCUCCCCUCUCCCCAUCGCUGGCCUCACCCUCCCUCUCCCUCUCCCUCUUCCUUUCCACCACCCCGCCUCCACUCACACCCUGGAGGUAAAAAAAUCAAUCUUGUGAGCCGGCGACGAGCUUCUACUCUGGAAUAUGCAAUAGAGGCGUGGAUGUGGAGCACCAGCGCUGGAUCUAGGCGAGGGAGGCAUGGAUGUGGAGCGGCACGCGAGCGACGGAUUUGGAGCAGCGCCGGAGCAGUGGAGCGGAGGAUCUGGAGCAGAGUAUUCGUCCUCACGGUGCCCAUGUCAUCGUCUUCGUCGGACGUCCCCACCUCGCCGACGCGUUCGAUCUGCGCACACUGUGUUCUCUCGGAACUUUAGGCAUGUUUGCAAUUGGACAAAUGAUGUAUAACAAUGAUCAUCAUCUCUAAAUUUGACAAUUAGACAACAUCAGUAGGAGGCCACCAACACUAUCAUUUUCUCAUGCAUUACAGUUUUACAGACUAUUGUACCUAAAAGCAUCGACAAAUUCUCCCAAUUCUGCAUCUGGCGAAAACUGAUAAGAAUUGGGAGCAACGAGGAGUACCUGACGAGGACCAGGCGGGGGAGCAGCGAGGACCGAGCGGGGGAGAAGCAAGGAUCAGGCUGGUCAGUGCGUUGAGAGGACCAGGUUGGUGCAGCGAGGACUAGAUUGGGAGGAGCGAUGGCGGCGGCCAGGCUGGGGCGGCGGUGAUCAAAUUGGGAGCGGUGGCCACCAAACUGGGCAAGGACGACGGGGAAGAGAGUAGCAAAGGAGGAGGAGGAGGAGGAGGUGGAGGGCGGAGGAGGAGGUGGCCGGACUAGCAGCUGGAGCUGGAGGAGGUGGAGGGCGCAGGUGGCCUGGCGGAGGAAGACUACAAGGAGGAGCCUGGCGGAGGAAGACGACAACUCGUUUCAAAUCAGGGGUAUUUUUGUACAUUUGCCCAUUUACACCUGGUCCGAAAAAGCCCCCAAUGACAACUAUUUCGGAACAGAGGGAGUAUUUAUUAUGGAGCUGCCAACCCCAUGAAGCAAAAUAUUUGUUCUUUUGGGGCUGGCACCUCGAACAAGCAUAAAAAUAGAGGGAAGCAGAUAUAUUGUCA